UAAGGAAUAUUGGUCAAUGGGCGGAAGCCUGAACCAGCCAUGCCGCGUGCAGGAAGACGGCCCUACGGGUUGUAAACUGCUUUUAUACGGGAAUAAACCUCCGGUCGUGACCGGAGCUGAAUGUACUGUAAGAAUAAGGAUCGGCUAACUCCGUGCCAGCAGCCGCGGUAAUACGGAGGAUCCAAGCGUUAUCCGGAUUUAUUGGGUUUAAAGGGUGCGUAGGCGGCCUUGUAAGUCAGGGGUGAAAGACGGCAGCUUAACUGUCGCAGUGCCUUUGAUACUGCAGGGCUUGAAUGCACUUGAAGUAGGCGGAAUGUGACAAGUAGCGGUGAAAUGCAUAGAUAUGUCACAGAACACCGAUUGCGAAGGCAGCUUACUAAAGUGUGAUUGACGCUGAGGCACGAAAGCGUGGGGAUCAAACAGGAUUAGAUACCCCCGUAGUCC
rnacentral:rRNA from 1 species